CGAGAUGUGGCUCAAUUUGGUAGAGCGCUUCGUUCGGGACGAAGAGGCUGUGGGUUCAAAUCCCGUCAUCUCGACCA
rnacentral:tRNA from 1 species